AUGAAGAUCAUCAUGACCCCUCACUCUAAUCUCUUCCUUCAAAUCAUUCUUCUCCACACGAACUUCCAUUAAUCAAAGAGAUGAAACCAUUAUAUUCCUCUCUUCUCCGUGUUCUCUUGUACGUUCUCGUCGUCUUCCCUAAUGGCCUCUGCUUCGCCGACAUCAAUGCUCAAACAGGCUGGCUGUGCUCAGAAGCUGAUAACUCGCUCAAAGAAGACGAUGAUUUCCUCAUCAAUCUCAGAACCACCAUGGAUUCUCUAGCUGAUAACGUAAACAACCGCCAAGGUUUCUACCAAACCAGCGUGGGGAACAAGAAAUCCAACACCGUCUAUGGUUCUGCACUAUGUAGAGGCGAUAUAUCUGCGGACAACUGUUCUAACUGCGUCCUUAAUUCCAUCAAAGAAGCCUCCGAUGAUUGCCCGAAGAGCCGUGACGUGUCUAUCUGGUUCAGAUGGUGCUUCCUGAGGUACGCGAACCAGAGCUUCUUCGGAACUAUGGAGGAAACAUCAGUGGCAGUGACAAACGACACAGAUUUUGAGGAGGCUAAGGUGGUUUCAGAAGGGCUUGAAUUCAUGGGAGGGCUAGCAGAUUCAGCGUCGGAGAAGCCAUAUAUGAUGGAGACAGGAGUGCUGGAUGUGAAUGUGAGUGAUGAGAGUGGGAUGAAGGAGGAUAAGAGGUAUGGGAUGGCUCAGUGCACGAGAGAUAUCAGAGAGGAAGAUUGCAGGAAGUGCCUGGAUGAUCAGUUGCAGAACUUCAGAACAGUGAUUGGGAACAAGAGAAGAUGGGAGAUUUAUGGCUUGAAUUGCUUCAUGUGGUACAAUGACUAUCACUUCUAUUCUAAUGCUUCCAUGCUUCUAAGUGGUUAUUAGCAAGUAGUGAUAUUUAUUCAAUCAGUUUGCUUCAGAUCUUAGUGCUCAUGCAUGUUGGCCCAUCGUCAUCUUCUGUCAUGGCGGCUCAUGGUAUCAGUUUGUACUUUGUAGAGGCGACAUAUCAGCCGACAUAUAACUGUUCUAACUGGGUCCUUGAUUCCAUUAAAGUAGCCUCCGAUGAUUGCCAGAAGAGCCGUGACGUGUCUGUCUGGUUCAGAUGGUGCUUCCUGAGGUACGCGAACCAGAGCUUCUUCGGAACUAUGGAGAAAACAUCAGUCGCAGUGACAAACGACACAGAUUUUGAGGAGGCCAAGGUGGUUUCAGAAGGGCUUGAAUUCAUGGGAGACAGGAGUGCUGGAUGUGAAUGUGAGUGAUGAGAGUGGGAUGAAGAAGAAGGAUAAGAGGUAUGGGAUGGCUCAGUGCGCGAGAGAUAUCAGAGAGGAAGAUUGCAGGAAGUGCCUGGAUGCUCAGUUGCAGAACUUCAGAACAGUGAUUGGGAACAAGAGAAGAUGGGAGAUUUAUGGCUUGAAUUGCUUCAUGUGGUUGGAGCGGGCCAUUUAGAUGAAAGAGAUGAAAACCAGUAUGCCUCCACUCUUGUAAGUAAUGAGUAUCAUUAAUUAUCUGUCAUGAACUAG